UUUCAAAUAUGUUUUAUAAAUCAAGAUAUUUAUCUUAGUCUAACUUUAAACUAUAAAAUAGAUUCCAAUUAGAAUCUUAAAAAGUUAUUGUUCAUGUAUUAGUAUGUGAUUCUAUCAUAAUUAAAUAAAAAUUUGCCUGCAUUACCAACAUUGAAAAAACAUUUUCAAUAUGAAUGAAAUACAUAAUUGAUUCUUCAAUAUUAUGAAAUAAAAAAAAAUGAUAAUAUGAAGUUUUUUUUUCAAAUAUAUUUUAUAAAUCAAGAUAUUUAUCUUUGUCUAACUUUAAAUUAUAAAAUAGACUCCAAUUAAAAUCUUAAAAAGUUAUUGUUCACGUAUUAGUAUGUGAUUCUAUCAUAAGUAAAUAAAAAUUUACCUUAAACAAAUUACGUGGAUAAUUUAGUAGAUGCAUUAUUAGACCAUUAAGAUAGAUUUAGGUUCAAAAUGAGAUUUGGUUACGUCAGACUAGAAUAACAGUUUUAAAAAAAUCAUACAUUGAAAUUUUUACAUGAGUUUUUGGAGUUUGUUUUCUCUAUUAUAAUGAUUGUGUCACUAUAAGCACCGUCAAAUUUUUAAAUAUAAAAAAAUCUUGCCGAGGACUUCUGGUUUUGAUAAUUUUAAAAUUCUUUUUAUUAUUUUUUGAAUCGAUCGACUCAUUUAAGUAAAUAAUAACACAAUUUGAGUUCGAUGAUAUUAUGUUUCUGAAGAGUGAUAUAAUCAAAUUAUACUAUUAUAUUAAUUUUUUUUUCUCAUUUAUCAAUUUAUCAAUUUUUUUAAUUUUUUAUACUAAUAGUACAAUUUAUCAUAUUUGCAAUCACCCCAUCAUAAAAAAUGAAUUCAAAACUCUUUUUUAUUUUUUUUUCUUAUAUUCAAAAGAAGCGAAUAGUAGCUUUUCCCCUAGGUGAGAAAUUUGCUUCUCAUUAAGUCAUUUGACAUAAAUACCCUCAUCUCCCCCAAAUCACCGAAAGCAUCUGCAACAAUCUCCCAAAUCACAGAACGCAUCUGCAGCUGCUAAUCUUGCACGACUGGUUUGCCAAGGAGAUAAAUAGUAGAAGGAGAAAUUUGCUAGAAGUCGAGCAGCUGCCAAAAAGGCAUUUGCUUCGGCUGCUUUCUUUCCCAUCAUUGGGCCAUGAUGUCAACAAGCUGAAGCACUAAAACAUCAUAAGAGAAAUAAGUCCUGUGUUGUACAAUUCCUGCCACUGAUUAGAAUGGAUACACAGUCCUUGGUUAGACAUGAGAGAUUGCAAAAACAAACAGGGGUUGAUUCUUGCUAGAUACAUAUUUUCAUUUUUUUUUGUUUGAGAACCCCAUGUGAAUACUCAGUCCCCUGCUAUUAAAUUAAGGAAAACUGAAGAGUGUGAUGAGGAAAAAAAAAAAACUGGCGACUUGCAUGAUGAGGCCAUGAAGCGUGAGCUAAGAUUAAGAAUGUUGUAGAUUUUCAUUAUCGUUUUCCAUGAGAUUUGCUGGAAGGAGAUCUGGGUAAGUUUUCCAUGGAUGUAAGUAUACAGGUGCUUUUCCCAAGAUGUUUUGCAGUUUGAGUCGACCUUGAUGAGUUGUAUAGAUGAAUUUUUGAGGUAUACAAAUGCACUGGAGCUUUUUCUCUGAAGGUCUUGAAUGCAGGUCUUGAUAUCUUCA